GUGGGUAUAGCUCAGUGGUAGAGUGUGUGCUUAGCCUGCACGAGGUCCUGGGCUCAAUCCCCCAGUACCUCCA
rnacentral:tRNA from 1 species